UACGAAGGGGGCUAGCGUUGUUCGGAAUUACUGGGCGUAAAGCGCACGUAGGCGGCUUGUUAAGUCGGGGGUGAAAUCCCAGGGCUCAACCCUGGAACUGCCUCCGAUACUGGCAUUCUUGAGUCCGAGAGAGGUGAGUGGAAUUCCGAGUGUAGAGGUGAAAUUCGUAGAUAUUCGGAAGAACACCAGUGGCGAAGGCGGCUCACUGGCUCGGUACUGACGCUGAGGUGCGAAAGCGUGGGGAGCAAACAGG
rnacentral:rRNA from 1 species